rnacentral:rRNA from 1 species
GACGAACGCUGGCGGCGUGCUUAACACAUGCAAGUCGAACGGAAAGGCCCUGCUUUUGUGGGGUGCUCGAGUGGCGAACGGGUGUGUAACACGUGUGUAACCUGCCCUUGACUUUGGGAUAACUUCAGGAAACUGGGGCUAAUACCGGAUAGGAGCUCCUGCUGCAUGGUGGGGGUUGGAAAGUUUCGGCGGUUGGGGAUGGACUCGCGGCUUAUCAGCUUGUUGGUGGGGUAGUGGCUUACAAAGGCUUUGACGGGUAGCCGGCCUGAGAGGGUGACCGGCCACAUUGGGACGGAGAUACGGCCCAGACUCCUACGGGAGGAAGAGGUGGGGAAUAUUGCACAAUGGGCGGAAGCCUGAUGCAGCAACGCCGCGUGCGGGAUGACGGCCUUCGGGUUGUAAACCGCUUUCGCCUGGGACGAAGCGUGAGUGACGGUAAUGGGUAAAGAAGCACCGGCUAACUACGUG